rnacentral:rRNA from 1 species
GUGCCAGCAGCCGCGGUAAUACGGAGGGGGUUAGCGUUGUUCGGAAUUACUGGGCGUAAAGCGCACGUAGGCGGACUAGUCAGUCAGAGGUGAAAUCCCAGGGCUCAACCCUGGAACUGCCUUUGAUACUGCUAGUCUUGAGUUCUAGAGAGGUAAGUGGAAUUCCGAGUGUAGAGGUGAAAUUCGUAGAUAUUCGGAGGAACACCAGUGGCGAAGGCGGCUUACUGGCUCGAUACUGACGCUGAGGUGCGAAAGUGUGGGGAGCAAACAGGAUUAGAUACCCUGGUAGUCCACACCGUAAACGAUGAAUGCCAGACGUCGGGUAGCAUGCUAUUCGGUGUCACACCUAACGGAUUAAGCAUUCCGCCUGGGGAGUACGGUCGCAAGAUUAAAACUCAAAGGAAUUGACGG